rnacentral:rRNA from 1 species
AUGCUUCUCCUAAAGACUAAGCCAUGCAUGCCUUCGAAUAGAAGAGCAAUCUCUUUGAAUCUGCGAACGGCUCCGCAAACCAGUUGUAAACUAUAGCAAGUCCGUGUGGCUAGCGGGCAACCGUUAGUUGCACUCACAGGGAUAACCCUGGUAAUCCUGAGGCUAAUACAAGAACGUAAAACUCGGUCGACUGGGCAACUGGAAGGCCGAGGGUCGUGUAAGCGCUAUGCAAUACUCGACAUGAAUGGAUA